rnacentral:rRNA from 1 species
GAUGAACGCUGGCGGCGUGCCUAAUACAUGCAAGUCGAGCGAACGGACGAGAAGCUUGCUUCUCUGAUGUUAGCGGCGGACGGGUGAGUAACACGUGGAUAACCUACCUAUAAGACUGGGAUAACUUCGGGAAACCGGAGCUAAUACCGGAUGAUAUUUUGAACCGCAUGGUUCAAAAGUGAAAGAUGGUCUUGCUGUCACUUAUAGAUGGAUCCGCGCUGCAUUAGCUAGUUGGUAAGGUAACGGCUUACCAAGGCAACGAUGCAUAGCCGACCUGAGAGGGUGAUCGGCCACACUGGAACUGAGACACGGUCCAGACUCCUACGGGAGGCAGCAGUAGGGAAUCUUCCGCAAUGGGCGAAAGCCUGACGGAGCAACGCCGCGUGAGUGAUGAAGGUCUUCGGAUCGUAAAACUCUGUUAUUAGGGAAGAACAUAUGUGUAAGUAACUGUGCACAUCUUGACGAUACCUAAUCAGAAAGCCACGGCUAACUACGUG